rnacentral:rRNA from 1 species
UACGUAGGGCGCAAGCGUUGUCCGGAAUUAUUGGGCGUAAAGAGCUCGUAGGCGGCCUGUUGCGUCCGCUGUGAAAUCCCGGGGCUCAACCCCGGGCCUGCAGUGGAUACGGGCUGGCUAGAGGCAGGCAGGGGAGAACGGAAUCCUGGUGUAGCGGUGAAAUGCGCAGAGUAUCAGGAGGAACACCGGUGGCGAAGGCGGGUCUCUGGGCGAGUAACUGACGCUGAGGAGCGAAAGUGUGGGGGAGCG